CCUACGGGUGGCAGCAGUGGGGAAUAUUGGGCAAUGGGCGCAAGCCUGACCCAGCAACGCCGCGUGAAGGAAGAAGGCUUUCGGGAUGUAAACUUCUUUUAAGAGGGAAGAGCAGAAGACGGUACCUCUUGAAUAAGCCACGGCUAACGACGGGCCAGCAGCCGCGGUAAUACGUCGGUGGCAAGCGUUGUCCGGAGUUACUGGGGGGAAAGGGCGUGUCGCCGGGCUGAGAAGUCAGAGGUGAAAGCCCGUGGCUCAACCCCGGAACUGCCUUUGAAACUGGCGGUCUUGAGUAUCGGAGCGGCAGUCGGAAUUCCUAGUGUAGCGGUGAAAUGCGUAGCUAUUAGGCGGAACACCAGUGGCGCAGGCGGCCUGCUGGACGACAACUGACGGUGAGGCGCGAAAGCGUGGGUAGCAAACAGGAUUAGAUACCCUUGUAGUC
rnacentral:rRNA from 1 species